AGCAACCGCGGUAAUACAGGGGCCAAGAGCGUUGUUAGGAUUUACUGGGCGUAAAGGGCGAGUAGGCGGUCUUGCGUGUCAAGUGUGAAAUCUCCGGGCCCAACCCGGAAAGUGCGCUUGAAACUACAGGACUCGAGUCUGGGAGAAGGAAUCGGAAUAUAGGGUGUAACGGUGAAAUGCGGUUGAUAUCCUAUAGAACGCCGGAGGCGAAGGCGGAUUCCUUGAACAGCACUGACGCUGAGGCGCGAAAGUCGGGGGAGCAAACAGGAUUAAAUACCCUGGUAGUCCCGACCUUAAACGGUGCACACUCGGGGUGGGGCCAUUUCACCGGUCCCGUCCCUUAGCUAACGCGUUAAGUGUGCCGCCUGGGGAGUACGGCCGCAAGGCUAAAACUCAAAGAAAUUGACGGGGGCCCGCACAAGCAGAGGAGCAUGUGGCUUAAUUCGAUGCAACGCGAAGAACCUUACCUGGAUUUGACAUCGUCGGCAAGGCCCUAUGAAAGUAGGGCGGAGGUUAUCCGAUAGACAGGUGCUGCAUGGCUGUCGUCAGUUCGUGCCGUGAGGUGUUUGGUUAAGUCCACCAACGAACGCAACCCCUUUGGUAUGUUGCCAUCAGGUAAAGCUGGGAACUCGUACCAUACUGCCUGUUUACGCAGGAGGAAGGUGGGGAUGACGUCAAGUCAGUAUGGCCCUUACAUCCAGGGCUGCACACGUGCUACAAUGGCGUAUACAGAGGGACGCAAGACCGCAAGGUGGAGCCAAUCCCAGAGAGUACGCCUCAGUUCAGAUCGGGGUCUGCAACCCGACCCCGUGAAGUCGGAUUUGCUAGUAACGGCGUAUCAGCUACGACGCCGUGAAUGCGUUCCCGGGCCUUGCACUCACCGCCCGUCA
rnacentral:rRNA from 1 species